rnacentral:rRNA from 1 species
CCUACGGGAGGCAGCAGUGAGGAAUAUUGGUCAAUGGGCGCGAGCCUGAACCAGCCAAGUCGCGUGCGGGAAGACGGCCCUAUGGAUUGUAAACUUCUUUUGUACGGGAGUAAAACACGCUACGCGUGGCGUUCUGAGAGUACCCGAAGAAUAAGCAUCGGCUAACUCCGUGCCAGCAGCCGCGGUAAUACGGAGGAUCCGAGCGUUAUCCGGAUUUAUUGGGUUUAAAGGGUGCGGAGGCGGAAAGACAAGGCAGCGGUGAAAUGUUGGAGGGCAACCCGUGACGUGCAUUGGAAACUGGUGUUCUUGAGGGCGUGUGAGGUAGGCGGAAUGCGUGGGGUAGCGGUGAAAUGCAUAGAUAUCACGCAGAACUCCGAUUGCGAAGGCAGCAUACCGGCGCUCAACUGACGCUGAGGCACGAAAGUGUGGGUAUCGAACAGGAUUAGAUACCCCAGUAGUC